AGAUAUGGGUCUUGUACGGCAUUACAGUAUUUCGCCCUACAAUGUUUUCCAAGGAAGCGGUCCCUGAUCAUGGUGUGCAAGCUCACAAAGGAUUCUAUCCGGAUAGUGAGAAGCCUAAAGUGGUUACUAACUGCAUCCACCUGUCAAAUGGCGGGCGGAGACUUCGGCUGGCAAGGCCCACCUUUU
rnacentral:other from 1 species